rnacentral:rRNA from 1 species
GUAGGUGGCAAGCGUUGUCCGGAAUUAUUGGGCGUAAAGCGCGCGCAGGCGGUCCUUUAAGUCCGAUGUGAAAGCCCGCGGCUCAACCGUGGAGGGUCAUUGGAAACUGGGGGACUUGAGUACAGAAGAGGAAAGCGGAAUUCCAAGUGUAGCGGUGAAAUGCGUAGAGAUUUGGAGGAACACCAGUGGCGAAGGCGGCUUUCUGGUCUGUAACUGACGCUGAGGCGCGAAAGCGUGGGGAGCAAACAGGAUUAGAUACCCUGGUAGUCCACGCCGUAAACGAUGAGUGCUAAGUGUUAGGGGGGUUUCCCGCCCCCCUUAGUGCUGCAGCUAACGCAUUAAGCACUCCGCCUGGGGAGUACGGCCGCAAGGCUG